UACGUAGGGGGCAAGCGUUGUUCGGAUUUAUUGGGCGUAAAGGGCAUGUAGGUGGCAAGAUAAGUGUGGAUUGAAAGGUUAGAGCUUAACUCUAUACUUGGUCUGCAAACUAAAUUGCUAGAGUGCGGGUGGGGAGACUAGAAUUCCGCGUGUAGGGGUAAAAUCUAUAGAUAUGCGGAAGAAUACCGGUGGCGAAGGCGAGUCUCUGAUCCGUAACUGACGCUGAGAUGCGAAAGCGUGGGGAG
rnacentral:rRNA from 1 species